UGUGUCUUUCUGCAUCUAUACAAGAUUAAAAGUUUUAAGCUUUAAGAGUUACGAGAACUGUGUUGAGAAUAUUGAAGAUUUUAUUUUAUAUUACUUGAUUCUGGGAAGGCUCAGCACCCAUUGCACUUUAUAUUGAUUUCUUCCUUUCUUUCUUUUAAUCUUAGGUUGCCAGUUCUUUUGUUUUAACAAAUACUACCAGACUAAUCAUUUUUUAUUAGCUGCAACACCAGCAGUGUGAAAUAGACUUGGCAGCAAACCAGGACCAAACAUAAAAAGAAAUGUAUGCAAGUAAAUUCCUGCAUUAAUGCAGUGCUGUUUUUGUGCUACACUCUAUGCUCCUUAACAUUAACUGUGAGUCCUCACCUAAGAGUCUGCAUUACUCGUAGACUAAUAGACUACGAGGAUAAGAAUCAGUUGAAACAACGUCCUCAUAUGUGAAUUCUUAACUGGAUUUCUGAACAUACUGUGCCCUGCAGCAGAUUAUGUGUUCAGCGACUGACCACGGGGAACUAGCUAGCAGAAAAGGGAGCCACCUUUGUGACAUUGGAAAAAAAAACAAAAAAAAACCAUAAAAUCUAUCUUCAGGCUCAACAGACCUCACUAACCCAUUAAUCUCGUUUCAUAGUAUACCCCUCAGGUCCUCUUCCAAAGAACUCACCUGGGGUCUCAUCAUUUCACACAGGGUCUAAAGUCCUUCGCUGUUGUUAACCUCAAUAAAUAUUCUUAUGCACCCGCUAUGUCAUGGGUCAGGCGAUGCCUCAAGUUUUCCUCCCCUCUUUCUCCAUCCUUCCCAACUCCCUGCCUCCUCUGUUUCCUGUGUUUGUCUCACUCGCUUCCUGUUUGUUUUCAUGUGUCUUCAGGCGUAGCAAACUGCUUCUCUUCUCUAUUGCAUCAGCCAGUUCACCUGCUCCUGACUGCCGCUGCCAAGUCCCCUACUCCUCAUCACCCCAUCAGCAUGCUGUAUUUAAACCCCCUCUUCUCAGUUACUCAUUGCUGGAUCAUUUAGCCUACUUGUGUGGUUCGCUCUCAUGCCGCCUGCCUGCUUUUCUGACUCGACCGGGCUCUCCUCAUCAUCCUAACCAGCUGUCUCUGUUUGCACUCUGCUCUGUCUGCUUCUAUCCUCUCAGCCACACUUCCACGAAAAAACCCGCAUGGUUUACAAUCUUGUGCUGCAACUACCGCCUCACUUACCUGCAACCUCUUCAUUAUUAUGCAAUAAACUUUUUUUAUUUUGUUUCAAGAGUGUUAUUAAGGUCUGAAUGCUCACUGGUCAUGAAAAUACUGAUCUUGC
ensembl:lncRNA